CCAACCAAACCUAGAUAUAACCAAUCUAAAUGUAUUUCUAAAACAAAGAGUCUUACAUUACAAGUCUAAUAAUAUACUUAUCAAGGCUUAAAUUUCCGCCAACAAAAUUAUCUAUAGCCUAGAAGCUACUUAUGAAUUUACAAGGUAGAAUUUGUUAAUCAUAACAAGGCCUUGAUUGUGAGAAUGCCCGGGUUCAUAACCGCGAUCUCAACUUUAUAAAAUAUCCCUUGCCUCAAUUACAUAUUAACUCAAAACCUUCCUAAAC
rnacentral:lncRNA from 1 species